CUAAGCGCACAAAGGCCAAGACCUCAGCAACCAAGGUCCUGGCACAGCCUGACCUGACACCAAGUGAGCUCAAGGCCAAGGCUGACGGUGCAACGACUGAGAGCAUCACAGACACUGACAGCACCCCCGUUCAGUGCCUGCCUGAUGCUGCCAGUCUGGCCUUUGUGGAUGAGGGAGUUGUCUCUG